GGUACAAGUCCCCAUGAGAGGGGCAUGUUAUCCCGGAGCGGGUGCUAGGCCCGUACCGCCGCAGGUCCGUGCGCGGAGUUGCCGUUCUCCCGGGAGUCGGGUUGCUUGGGAGUGCAGCCUAAAGCGGGUGGUAAACUCCACCUAAAGCUAAAUAAGACCGAGAGACCGAUAGCGAACAAGUACCGUGAGGGAAAGUUGAAAAGCACUUUGAAGAGAGAGUUCAAGAGUACGUGAAACCGUUCAGAGGUAAACGGGUGGGACCUCGAAGUCCGAAGGCGGUGGUGGAUUCAGCGGAUACCUUACCUCUCCUACGUGGGCGUCACCCCACGACGGGGCCUUACCUAGUAGGUCGAAUAAGGUGCCCGCGCACUUCCACACCCCGUCCAUUAGGGCGUCGCGACCGGUUGGAAGGCCGUCGCAAGGGCGGACCAGAAAGGUGGCCGCAUUUUCUUUAUGGAUCUGCGGUGUUACAGGCGGUCCAGCCCCGACGGGUCGUCCGACCGGGGUCGAGUUCAUCUCUUAUGCGUUCCCUUCCAGAAGGAAGCGGCGUCCGGGUCGGAUUUCCUGCGGCUAGGCGUGCCACCUUCAAAGGUGAGCGACUACCGUGGGGUCUUCGUUCCCGAGGCGACCGCGGGGAGCAGGAGGUCGCGGCGAGUAGGUCGGUUACCCACCCGACCCGUCUUGAAACACGGACCAAGGAGUCUAACGCGUGUGCGAGUUCCCGGGACUUGAAUAGGCCCGCGGGCGCAAUGAAAGUGAAGGGCGACUUUACGUCGUCUUAGUUGGGAUCCUCUCCAUUCAUUGGGGAGGCGCACCAACGGCCCGUCCGACGUCGUUCUCGGCGGGGCGGAGCUAGAGCAUACGCUCUGGGACCCGAAAGAUGGUGAACUAUGCCUGGGCAGGACGAGGCCAGAGGAAACUCUGGUGGAGGUCCGUAGCGAUUCUGACGUGCAAAUCGAUCGUCAGAC
rnacentral:rRNA from 1 species